UUGUUGGAUAUUGAAGGCCGGUGAAAUUAAAAUUGAAGGUUUAGAAAGCAUUACAUUAUGAAAUUGUGCAUUAAAUUAAAACGCGUAAGAACCUGCCCUUUGGAGGGGAACAACAACCGGAAAUGGUUGCUAAUACCCCGUAGGCUGAGGAGCAAAAGGAGGAAUCCGCACGAGGAGGGGCUCGCGUCUGAUUAGCUAGUUGGUGAGGUAAUAGCUUACCGAGGCGAUGAUCAGUAACUGGUCCGAGAGGAUGAUAGGCCACACUGGGACUGAGACACGACCCAGACUCCUACGGGUGGCAGCAGUGGGGAAUUUCCGCAAUGGGUGAAAGCCUGAUGGAGCAAUGCCGCAUGGAGGUAGAAGGCCUACGGGUUGUGAACUUCUUUUCUCAGAGAAGAAACAAUGACGAUAUUUAAGGAAUAAGCAUCGGCUAACUCUGUGCCAGCAGCUACAGUAAGACAGAGGAUGCAAGCGUUAUCCAGAAUGAUUAGGCGUAAAGCGUCUAUAGGUGGAUUUUCAAGUCUACCAUCAAUUCCCAGGACUCAACCCUGGACAGGCGGUGGAAACUACCAAGCUGGAGUCUCGGUAGGGGCAGAGGGAAUUUCCGGUGGAGCGGUGAAAAUGCGUAGAGAUCGGAAAGAACACCAACGACGAAGGCACUUUGCUGGGCUGACACUAACAUGAGAGACGAAAGCUAGGGGAGCAAAUGUGAUUAGAUACCCCAGUAGUCCUAGCCGUAAAUGAUGGAUACUAGGCGCUGUGUGUAUCGACCCGUGCAGUGCUGUAGCUAACGCGUUAAGUAUCUUGCCUGGGGAGUACGUUCGCAAGAAUGAAACUCAAAGGAAUUGGCGGGGGCCCACACAAGCGGCGGAGCAUGUGGUUUAAUUCGAUGCAAAGCAAAGAAUCUUACCAGGGAUUAACAUGUCGUGAAUCCUCUUGAAAGAGAGGGGUGCCUUCGGGAACGUGGACACAGGUGGUGCAUGGCUGUCAUCAUCUCGUGUCGUAAGGUGUUGGGUUAAGUCCUGCAACAAGCGCAACCCUCGUGUUUAGUUGCCACCAUUGAGUUUGGAACCCUGAACAGGCUGCUAGUGAUAAGCCAGAGGAAGGUGAGGAUGAUGUCAAGUCAUUAUGCCCCUUAUGCCCUGGGCGACACACGUGCUACAAUGGUCGGGACAAAGGGUCGCAAUCCUGCGAGGGUGAGCUAACCCCAAAAACCCAUCCUUAGUUCGGAUUGCAGGCUGCAACUUGCCUGCAUGAAGCCAGAAUCACUAGUAAUCGUUAGUCAGCCAUACGGUGGUGAAUUUGUUCCUGGGCCUUGUACACACCACCCGUCACACUAUUGGAGCUAGCCAUGCCCGAAGUCAUUACCUUAACCGCAAGGAGGGGGAUGCCGAAGGUGGGACUAGUGACUAGAGUGAAGUCGUAACAAGGUAGUCGUACUGGAAGGUGUAGCUA
rnacentral:rRNA from 1 species